rnacentral:rRNA from 1 species
UACGCAGGGUGCAAACGUUGCUCGGAAUCAUUGGGCGUAAAGCGCCCGUAGGCGGCUUCGCAAGUCGGAUGUGAAAUCCCUCGGCUCAACCGAGGACGUGCAUCCGAAACUGCGAGGCUUGAGUACAGAAGAGGAUCGCGGAAUUCCCGGUGUAGAGGUGAAAUUCGUAGAUAUCGGGAGGAACACCAGUGGCGAAGGCGGCUCACUGGCCCGAUACUGACGCUGAGGCACGAAAGCGUGGGGAGCAAACAGG